rnacentral:rRNA from 1 species
GAAAGCAGGGGAUCGUAAGACCUUGUGCUUUUGGAGUGGCCGAUGCCUGAUUAGCUAGUUGGUAGGGUAAUGGCCUACCAAGGCGACGAUCCGUAGUUGGUCUGAGAGGACGACCAGCCACACUGGGACUGAGACACGGCCCAGACUCCUACGGGAGGCAGCAGUGGGGAAUUUUGGACAAUGGGCGCAAGCCUGAUCCAGCAAUGCCGCGUGAGUGAAGAAGGCCUUCGGGUUGUAAAGCUCUUUCAGUUGAGAAGAAAAGGUUGUGACUAAUAAUCACAACUCAUGACGGUAUCGACAGAAGAAGCACCGGCUAACUACGUGCCAGCAGCCGCGGUAAUACGUAGGGUGCGAGCGUUAAUCGGAAUUACUGGGCGUAAAGGGUGCGCAGGCGGCUUUGUAAGUCAGAUGUGAAAUCCCCGGGCUUAACCUGGGAAUUGCGUUUGAAACUACAAAGC